AGGACAAAGAGGAGGAGGUAAAAGUAAAAGAGGAUUAAGAAGACAAAGAAGUAGGUGAUAAGAAAGCGGAGGAGGAAGAAGAGGAAGAAGAAAAACAUUUCCUUCCCCUUUUCCUGUGUGGGGGAACAUUUUGGAAAGGAUGAAGUUUAUCUUGGGUCCCCUCAUUUCUUUGUCUCCAUGCCUCUAUUUCACCUCUUAGUGUCCUAUUCCAACAGUUUCUCAUCAUGCAGCAAUAUACCUUCAUUAGAUGUUUUGCGGUAAAAUUAAAGUAAGGUCAAGGUCACAGAUACAAAUGAGGAAGUAUCUCCAGCAGCAAUGUAGCCCAUCAGCGGGUUCAGAUCGUCAUACUUCACCUCCCAGUUUACCCCUUUCCCUAACAGUAGCAACAACAGUUCCCUUUUAAGAUUUGUUAACUUGAUUAAAAGGGGCUUGAGCAAAGACCUGCUACCUAGAAAA